rnacentral:lncRNA from 1 species
AUAAAUAACACAUGAAGCAAAUUUAAGGUAACAAUAAACAAGAUUUUAUAGGAAACAAGCAGUACCUAUGAACAAUGAUAUAAAUAUAAAGUUUUAUUUAAAUUUAAAAGUCUUAUAAUAUGACCUAACCAUCACAAUUACCACCAGCUCCUCCAAAUUGGAGAGCCGCAGGUCCAAUCUCCUUUCCUUGAUUAGCAUAGAAUUUAGCAUUAUAACAUUGAGGUUUGUCAGUGAAUCUUUGUAUCAAAAAUUUGUUUGGUGAAAGUUUUUUCUAGAGUUAUUCUGAUAUGUAAUAUAUCUAAAAUAACUCGCAUGAUCAAAUAUAUCAUCCGCUCUCCAAAAACAAAUAUUUGAACUAUAUCUCACAACAAUCUUAUACAAGAAUAUAAGAAAAAAAAUAAAAGAAUUAAAUACAAAGUUAAAAUAUUUAUAACUUGUACAGAUUAUAAUAAAAAACUAGAGUCAUAUAUAUAAAUAUUGAGUUUCAUCUUUCUUUCAAUUCUAAGUAAUAUGAAACUAUAUAUAUAAUAAUUUGAACGGUGAUUUUUUAUCACAUAAAACACUUGAGGUUUUUUCUACUUCAUGGCUCAACUUUGAUUCAAUGGUUUACAUCCAAUUUUAUUUUUCUAACGUUGUGUACUAUGAACUCAAGAUAUUUAAACAAUGUCACUCGUUAUUAUGAAAUAUUCUUUUGCGAUUCUACUGGACAAGUGCAUCUUGUGUUAGUGGAAGCUGAAUCACAUUUUCAACACACUCAAUCAAAUCUCUCAAGUUUCCUAUCUUAUGGAAAAGAAAUGAUGAAGAGGUUUCAUUGGAAGAACUUAAUAAGGUGUCUAAAUGUUGAUUACAUUUAAGAAUAAGUGGAUGUGGUCUAGAGGGCAAACUAUUUGAGCGACCAUGGAAACUGGAUUUUGUGUUCAAAGAAGAAGAUGUUGCCAUUUUGAUUCCUUAAGAAAAGAGAAAGAGAUCACUUAAGGCUUGAUGUUGAAUGUGCUUCAUUAUUUCC